GUGGAUGCCCUGGCAGUCAGAGGCGAUGAAGGACGUGCUAAUCUGCGAUAAGCGUCGGUAAGGUGAUAUGAACCGUUAUAACCGGCGAUUUCCGAAUGGGGAAACCCAGUGUGUUUCGACACACUAUCAUUAACUGAAUCCAUAGGUUAAUGAGGCGAACCGGGGGAACUGAAACAUCUAAGUACCCCGAGGAAAAGAAAUCAACCGAGAUUCCCCCAGUAGCGGCGAGCGAACGGGGAGCAGCCCAGAGCCUGAAUCAGUGUGUGUGUUAGUGGAAGCGUCUGGAAAGGCGCGCGAUACAGGGUGACAGCCCCGUACACAAAAAUGCACAUGCUGUGAGCUCGAUGAGUAGGGCGGGACACGUGGUAUCCUGUCUGAAUAUGGGGGGACCAUCCUCCAAGGCUAAAUACUCCUGACUGACCGAUAGUGAACCAGUACCGUGAGGGAAAGGCGAAAAGAACCCCGGCGAGGGGAGUGAAAAAGAACCUGAAACCGUGUACGUACAAGCAGUGGGAGCCUCUUUAUGGGGUGACUGCGUACCUUUUGUAUAAUGGGUCAGCGACUUAUAUUCUGUAGCAAGGUUAACCGAAUAGGGGAGCCGAAGGGAAAC
rnacentral:rRNA from 1 species